GUAUAUGUUUUAUAGGCACAACAUUCUAUCGACAUACAUUGGGGUAAAUGAAGCAACAUAGACCUGAAAGGCCUACAAAAAGUGCACAGGUGGAGAUAUAAAAAUGACAAGGCGUGCACAUGCUCCCUAGAGAACCAGCAACAACCCAUCAGGUUUAUUUCAAUAAUGAUCCUUCCGCAGGUUCACCUACGGAAA
rnacentral:misc_RNA from 1 species